rnacentral:rRNA from 1 species
UACGGAGGGUGCAAGCGUUAAUCGGAAUUACUGGGCGUAAAGCGUGCGUAGGCGGUUCGUUAAGUCUGUUGUGAAAGCCCUGGGCUCAACCUGGGAAUGGCAAUGGAUACUGGCGAGCUAGAGUGUGUCAGAGGAUGGUGGAAUUCCGGUGUAGCGGUGAAAUGCGUAGAGAUCGGAGGAACAUCAGUGGCGAAGGCGGCCAUCUGGGACAACACUGACGCUGAGGCACGAAAGCGUGGGGAGCAAACAGGG